rnacentral:rRNA from 1 species
AUUGAACGCUGGCGGAAUGCUUCACACAUGCAAGUCGAACGGCAGCACGGACUUCGGUCUGAGGGCGAGUGGCGAACGGGUGAGUAAUGUCUCGGAACGUGCCCAGUCGUGGGGGAUAACGUAGUGAAAAUUACGCUAAUCCCGCAUACGCUCUAUGGAUGAUAGCGGGGGAACGCAAGACAUCGCGCGAUUGGAGUUGCCGAUAUCAGAUUAGGUAGUUGGUGGGGUAAGCGCCCACCAAGCCAACGAUCUGUAGCUGGUCUGAGAGGACGACCAGCCACACUGGAACUGAGACACGGUCCAGACUCCUACGGGAGGCAGCAGUGGGGAAUUUUGGACAAUGGGCGAAAGCCUGAUCCAGCCAUUCCGCGUGCAGCAUGAAGGCCCUCGGGUUGUAAACUGCUUUUGUACAGAACGAAAAGGUUUCUACUAAUACUAGGAGCUCAUGACGGUACUGUAAGAAUAAGCACCGGCUAACUACGUGCCAGCCGCCGCGGUAA